GGUGAUUCAUGUGAGCCUGAGAUAAGCACUUAAAAUAGGGGAGUUGAAUUGCCCGUGGGAAGGCUCCCUCUCCUUAAAAACAGAAAUAAACUCAUGACUAGUUCAUGCUGACUGCUCAGCAGAAAGUGAGAUGAAGUCUGUUCUCAGGGAAACGUCUUGGUCUAGAGGAUGUUUCCUCUGUCUAAAGAUUGCUCUCAGGUUAAUAAAUAACAAAAAAUAGCUGUGCAUCAAAGUAGGCGGGUGUCAUAGACCUUAAUUCAAAAUGAUUUAGCACCAUGGCAGUGGAUACAUUGGAUAGGGUUUCAAAUGGGUUUUGAGCUUGGUCAGACUGUAUGAUUGAUUACAUGUGUGAAGAGGGGCUCCAAAAUGAAUGCCAGGACUUAGUGCCACCUUCUUCUCUUGCUUCCAUCCUCGUAGCAGAAGUAGCAUUGACUGAUGGGGGGCUCAAGGGCUUGAAGGAACAGAAACAAAUCCUGUUGGAAUAAUGGGCAAACACUGUUACAAAUUAACAUUUAAAUAUCAUUAAUUAAUGUAAUGACAUUUUCUGUUUCACUGAUGCCCAAGAGACUCAAAUGUGAUUAAUUUCUUUAAAAGCUGCUAUCUGUAGACCAGGUGUAGUAAUAACUAGCUCAACAGGUCUGAGCUGGGGCAUCCUGAGCUGAGCCUUGAUGUUCUUGGUGGCACAGCUGAGCCACCCAGGCCCACCAAGGGCCUCUGAAGUCGGUGUGUGUAAAGGAACUGGAAAGUCUAACAGAAAGUUGCCUUGUGCUCGGGGCACACCGACUGUGUGUACGUCAUCUGCAAGGGCAGUUUGUCUGACAUGUGAUAACUUAAUCAUAUGACUGAUUGUGGAGAUUACUUGCAGUGGUAACAAGUAAGGUGACUGGCUUUAUUAAGGCCUUAUAUUGAUACAGCAUCUCUGUACAAGAGACCAGUCCCAAAGUAAUGAAACUCAUCUGUCUGCUGGUACAAAUGUCUCUUCUGCGUUGCUGGAUUGAACAGUGGGAAAAUUCAUCUGGUUUAGGUGACAGGACAAGGUAGUAAACAGGUAAACUACACAGCUCAAAUUUAAAAAAGGCUGAUUUUUUUUUUCCUACCUUUGACAGCAAUCUCUGCUAUUCCGUACAGCAGACCUUCACAGUACAUGCCUACAUUAUCCCCAGGUUUUGAUUUCUAGCUAAACACCAGAUGCUUUAGGAAUGAUGUAACCAUUCAGUGAACGUGACGUGGGGCAUGGGGCGCGAGGGCCUGAGUCACGGGAGGCGUGCCUGUGGUGAGAGGGAUCCCUGUGGCCUGACAGCUGGCCCAGCACACCCAGCCUGCCUCGCUUCUCGCCUCUAUCGUAGGCUUCCUGCAAACUGUGGAGGAAGGAUUUCUCACUCAGCCUCAUUCUGCCUAUUUGUGCAUUGUGCAGUUAAUUAAGGAAGAAAUGAAGAGUGCUCUAUCACCCAAAAUUUUAAUUGAAUUGUUCCAAUAGCAGUGAUGUGGGGGAGGAUACGAUGUGCUAAAAGUAAAGUUUUUUGCACUUAUCAGCUCUCUAUCGUUUCUAUAGCAAGGCCCACGUAACUCCAUUAUACAGCUAUUUCAAGAGUGAUUGAAAAAGAGCCACUGAAGCACCCAGGAGAGAACGGAGUUGGGAGAUUUGGUGCUUUUGAAUUGCUGUCACAAACAAUCUAAUGUUGAAACACUCUGUAGUACAAAUGUGAUAUAUAUAUCCCCAGUCAGCUGUGUUUUCAUUAGAAUUUGAGACAUUGAAAACUUCUCUUGAUUCAAUUUGUGAUGCGGUGGAGUAACCUGGAGAAUAAGCCAGAUGGGAAGAGAGGCCUUGUAUCACAGGUAUUUGCCAAGAAGUUACCAAAACUCAACACUAUAAGAAUAUUUUAAACAGUUUUACCAGGGUUACUUACUGCUUUCAAACACAUACUCUCCUAUUGUCAUUAAAGAAAAUGAAAAAAUAUGGCAAGCCCCUGUAAUAUAAAAACCCUUAUGCUGUCGUUGAAAGUAGGCAUUUAUUGCUGCUGCCGCCACUGAUAUAAAAUGACUGACACUCUGAAAUGGGGACCAUGGGAGGUUUAGAUGGAAGCAAGCCUGAAAUGUUUCUUUCUCCAAGAACAGGCAGCCUAACCUUUUUAAUAGAUGGACAUUUGACACAUCGUGAAAAAGCCAGAAAUUGUACUAGGGGAAUUAUUUCUGGACACUGAAAAUCAAUCAGCUUAGCAGCAUUAAGGCACAAUCUCCUCAGAGGCCCCUUUUGGACAUUUAAAAAAUGCAUUUUAGAUGUUCAUAACUUCCAUCUGCAAUUAGCUGGAGGAUUGGCUGCUUGUAAUUUUUGAAUCAUUCAAGAAAGUAACACCUGCACGGCUUCUAAAAUUGUACCUUCGUGAUAGCACCACCUAGUAAUUAUUAUUCUGAGUCAUCAGCUAAUGCUCAUUACCACUUCAUAGUAGCAGUAUAAUUAAAAAUUCUGUGCCAUAUUCCGGUAGUGAUCAAGCUCUCAAGCCAACAGUGUGACUAUAGAGAAGUUAGUUUCAGUAUAUUUCUUGGUCUCUACUAUGUCUGUCUAAUGAUUUCUGGAUGAUCUUCAGUUAUUCCUGAGAUAAAGUAACAUUUUCAGUUUCCCUGGCAUGUCUUAGAUAUGAGAUUUUCCAGGCACGUCUUAGAUAGGAGUAAAUGUUGCAAGGGAAAGAACGUCAAUGCAGCAAAGGCUACUUGAGAGAGGGAGUUGUUGGGCUGGCUCUGAAAUAAGCCUGGUUCGGGUCUUGAUGGAAGUGAGCUCCGGUGCUCGUUGCUUUGAAAGUCAGGGAGGGACUAAUGAAAAGUGAGAGGCUGGUAAAAAACAGAAAAACCAAAAAACUCACAGACAACCAAACAACAAGACAAAAGAAAAGUCAUAGUCUGUUGUUAAUUUUGAGUUGUACUAAUCAUUGUGGGGUCCCUUCCUCAAUUCACACACAGGUGAGCCCAAGAAAUUAGUUUGCCUUGUUGCUUUUUUUGUUUGUUUGUUUGUUUGUUAGCUUCUGUGAAGAAAAUUGACUAAAGCAGCCAGUGGUCAUUCCUCAAGUCUUUCAUCAGUUAAUUGCGAUGAUGCCUGCAGUCACGGAGUAUUUUCAGUCCAAUCUGAGUGGCUCACACUAGCUUACACUAUCGGUCUAUCCUUUUUCUUUCCUAUUUUUCCUUGACUCUGUAUAUGAAGUGAAGCAGCACUGACAGUUAGGAGAGGGCAAAGAUUUGGAAGGUGGUUUAAUUUGUCGUUUGGGACAUGAAAGACUAAGCUUGGAAACUGUGUUCCAGCAUAGAAGAGAAGAUGAUUUAAAUGGAGAACCCUGGGUUUAAUUGCUGCCAGAAUAGCAUCGGGGACCUGAGAAACUUUGUAUCAGUCCUAUCAAAUCUACCAAGUUCCUGAGAGCAGCUUUGAUCCAGCAGGUUGUCAUUCUCUGAUCAAAUCAGCUCUAGGAGAAAGAGUUGUCACCUAUAAGCUGACACAGAUAAUGAUCAUCACUUCUGUACCUUUUCUUGGAUAAAUUAAAAGGAUUGGCUACAGUAUCUGCCUAUAAGUCUAGUCCAUAAAUAGAGCCUAUUGCUUUCCUCAGAGCUCUUACCGAUUUAAUGGCAUUAGAGGUAGGCUGUUGGUGUCAGGAGCAGAUUCAUUCUAGGAGAACCAAUGCAAAAUGGUGCCAUUACGUCUCACUAUUUAAACGUGGUACUUUGAUGCAUUGGAAUAUUGCAUUUUUUCUCUAUCCACUCCACAGAGUGAUUGUGAAAACGGGCAAACCACUGUGACCUUAAUGGUCUUUUAAAUCACUGUCUUCUAAAUUGCAUUCUGACAGUGUGACCUAAAUUUUGGGUCUGCUUUUUGUAUAAUCUUGUUUAGUUACAGUAAUAAUGCCACUGUUCAGUUGGGUUGACUGUGCUAUGAGAUUCACAUCACGCUUUUGAACUCAACUUGUCCUUUCUUGCAGGUCAUGUGAAAAUGAUGGAUUUAUGCCAUCACUGGCUUUCUUAAAUAGAAGUUUUCUUCAGGUCUUGGCUCCCAUAAAUAUCAGAGGAGCUGAUAUAUCCAGAACGAUGAUCUGUUUAAUAUGCCUUGCUGACUUGGAUAGCAUUGUUUUUUAAAUAGAAAUGUUUAGGUGUAAUAAGCUAAUGCACGCUUGGUUUGCUGAAAGACACAACGCACCUUCAUUAACCAAACUUGUCAGGCUGGGGACACUUUCUAGAUAGGAUUAUAGGUUUGAUUUUCCUGACGCUACAUUGCCCAUUUGUAGUCGGGGUUCUGCAUAGUCUUCAUUUUCUGUUAGCAUAUAUGCUCUGUUGCUUGGGGGUCAGUGCUGAGUUCAACAGUCUGCAGUUGCCACAGUGACUUCACUCACAGUUCCCAAAUAUUAACAAAAUACUAAUGCCCUUCAUUUCUUGUCCUUUAAAUUUUUCUUAGAAUAUGAUAUUUAAUCAGCCGUCAACCCCAACAGCUCCUUGGCCUACUCUUCAAAAACUUGUGGGAAUAAAUGAUUCAGUCUGACAAAUCUUAAACAUUUUAACUUUAAACAAAUGCUGUUAAACUUCUCCUGUAACUUGGUGAGAAAAUGGUGACCUGCCAACUUUCAAAGCUCAGGUAAAAUACUGUGGCUGCAGGGAGAGGAGGUGACAGAGACUAUGUCAGUGUAUUCGAAAGCCUCCAGUUUCCCAGCAGAAAGAAAACUGGUGGUGGGAAGCCAAUGCUAAACUGGAGACACCUGAGCCAGGUGUACCCAGCAGCCCAGGCUAUGGUAAAGGGAGCUUUGCUUCUGAAAGGCGAUAGAUGAACACAUAACUACAGUCUUGUCAUAGUCAGGGUAGUGUAUUUUUCUGCUUUCAGUACCUGCAAUUCAGCCAUUGUCUAAUGUCACAGAUGUGGUUUGAUUUAACUUAAUUUGAGAGUAAUAUCCUACAGUAUUGAGGGAUAUUUAUGAAGCAAGUUCUUUGAAGUUCUUCCCUCCUGCUCUUAGCAUCACUUAGUCUUGCUGGAUGCCUUUUAUCUUGGUACGGGUUGCAGCCAGCCAUUAAGAAAGCUAAAUAGUGGUGCUAUUUCAGUUGGCUUUGUGUUAUUUUGCUCUUGCAUAUUAACUUUGCAAUUCUGCUUCCUAUUCUGGUUGAGUCAUAAUAUUCUUGCACUGCUAGUGGCUGUUUAUUUCAUUUAAAGUUGUGUUGCUGGAGAAAGGGAGAGGAACAAAGUAGGAAGUUAACUGAAAAAACAAGGGUAUCCAUAUACAUAAAUACAUAUAUAAACAUGUAGUGAUUUUCCAACAAUAUCAGAAAGGUGAUUCUUGCAUGAAAUACUUGUGGUCUGUUAACACAGUGCAGGAUCUCCCCGUCCCCCAUUCCCUGCUGUAGACAUGUUCUGCUUUUUCUAGUUUGUUUACGUGCAGGGGCGAAGGAAUGAAGGAGGAAGAAGAGCACUUGCCAGAGCAGCAGGGAAGGGAGCUUACAGACUGGGAAGUCUGCAGGCCUGGAGGGGAGGGAGCUGGGAGGUGGCUGUGCUCACCCCAGCACAGAGGAGAUGUGGGAGAUGCUGCGCUUGCUGCCUCCAGUCUUAUCUGUUCUCGGCCAGGAAAACUGGCUGCAUUUCCUGGUAUGCUCCAUCUGGGCUUUGUUGCAGCUCUUUAUUUUGUGUUCAGUCUCUCCAGCUUCUCAGCAGAGCUGAUGUUGGAGUUUUCCCUAUCGCUCCCAUUCUGACUCCCAGAUCUUCCUACAUUUCUGAUAGAAACCACUCAGUUGCAGCAGCAAAUCUGUGAUGAGCGAUUUAUAAAUGUGAGCUGUCUCAAUUUGCAGUGCACUUUGUUAGUGAGAGAGCUGGAAGAGAGCAGCUACUUCUCUCUCAUGCAAAGCAAUCAGUUUCUCUUGCACUUUUCUGCAUGAACAAGAACUUCUCAAGUGAGGAGGGUGCUCCUUUGAAGUAAACAGUGGUUUGCAAGGAGGAAUCCUUACCAAUUUUGAGAGACUGAGAUACUUGUAUAUGUAUGUGUAUAUAUAUAUAUAUAUUUCUUUUUCAUAAAUCAUGCUGUAGGAGAGGAAGAUAAAUGAGAAACACCAUCUCAGGAGCCUUAGCUUUGAGAGCUCUUGGAUGUUAUUGCCAUUUUCUUUUCUCCUCAGAGAAUCUUCCUGCAAUGAGUUGCCCAGCUUUUUGGACAGUGCUUGUGUGACUAAUGGUAAUGCUCUAUUUUUAACUUUGGCUGACAUUGUUACCAGCAAUACUUUCAUAUUGAACCACUGCAAGAUAUUCAUUAAAUGACCGCUCUGCUAUGUACGUAUCAGUGGUACAGGAAAACAGACAGAACUGGAAUGUAGGUGAGUUCCACCUCGAGUUCCAGUUGCAUUCCAAGCUUCAUGUAUUUUUGCAGUCUGGAGGUAUAGUGCACUAUAGUAAGUUUUCCCUGAAGUGUCUCUCUCAGGCUCAUCCUAAGGACAAUGCCCCCUGUUUCUGUUCCUCUGAGUGCUUGCUUGGCCACUCACACACACAAAACAAAACUAUAAUGAAUUAUUUUAUUACUUUGCUUUAAAAUAUCAGAAACUUCUCACUUUUUGAAAUCCACAUUGCCUCGCAUGCCAGGUAACAACAUGGGGCACAAGGACUGGCACAGCUGAGAUGGAAGCAUAUGGCCGUGUAGGUAAUUAGAAGUGGGAAUUUCUUAAGCUAGGCUGACUGCCUAAAAAGAUCUAAUAUAUGACUUCAGCCACAUCACUUGAUAUCAUUUAGAGCCUCUAGAAAGACUGCUACUUUUUUUGCUACCUGCCUCAUAAGGCUAUUUUCCUAAUACAAUUGUUUUCUGAGGAGUAGGGGUGAGAACUGGAGAUUAAGUAAAUGCCAACCAUAGAAGCAUAGAAUGGUUUGGGUUGGAAGGGACCUUUAAGAUCAUCUAGUUCCAACCCCCCUGCUAUAGGCAGAGACAUCCCUCUCUAGACCACUGUAAAGAGAAUAGCUUUACCUGGGCUCUAAAAGAGAAACCCAGCCUGCUACCUCUCUGUUGCUGAGUAGGAGUACUCCAGUGAGCAUCAGUACUACCAUUUUGGAGGUACAACUUGCAUAGAAACAAGCAGCACAACUGUUAGUUAUUUUUUCACUGCUUCCUUGUAGGAAAGAGAUACUUGGAUUUUUAGGCCAAGUUUUAUCUAUUUCUUUGUCUCAUUUACCUCCUACUAGAAAGAGGUUUGUUUCUCCCUUUCUUCGUGCUCUUCCAGAUCAGAUUUGAGAGUUCAGCACUUCACAGCUUGGCUCUGGCUGGUUCUGAAGCAAAAUCUCACCUGUUCUAGAUGGUCUGAUCCUUUUCAGAGUAUACUUCAAGCACUGGCAACAGAGGUCCCACAACAAGUGUCUCUGAAGCAGGGAAGUUGUCCAGCUGGUUCUUUGCGCUGGUGCCAUGUGCAAUUGGUUAAUGGAUGAUCCUGCUUUUUGGAAGAAGUACAGGAAGGAUUAAAGAAAUGGAGUUUUGCUGCUGGAGUGGGGGAAAUGUGGAUCAAAGCUGAGGGGUUGUAACAGAGGAUGAAGAAAAAUUUGUAUUCUCCUUGGAUACAGACAGGUGUUUUGAGCAUGUCCCCUCUGAGAUACCUCAAAGGGACUUGAUCAUCAGAACCAGAUGAGCAUGCAGCCUCUGAAGCUGCUGUCCUCUGUUCUCUAGAUCAGAAGAUUAUUUAAUCUCUCUGAAAAAUGUCCAGUGUCCAUUUUACAUUUCAACUGGUGCACGUACAGGCAAGAAAGGAGAAGGCACUGCCAGUAGUUAGAAACUGGCCCCUGGCACACAGAAACACAUGCUUGCCUGCUUCCAGGCAGUGCAGUGGUUUCUCCCCAGACUGUUCUGUGAUGCUCCUUUUGAAAUCCCCAUGGCAAAAGGCUGAGCAGUGCUAUUUGCUUUGGUGUGUUCUUGGUUCAGCAGUGUUGUGAUACAUUGCUUGGAAAUUCUUUCUCCAGAUAUUUUAUUAUUAUAUAUGAGUGCUAUGUAUGAGUCAGAGGGGCAUACUUGCAGCUCUGUGACAGAUACAAGUGCUAUUGCCAUCUGAGAGAUGAAGGAGCUCACCCCCUGACCAUGCCAUGUCCUUGGUUCCAAGGUGCCUGAGGAGGUUACAGGAGAAGGGAAUGUGGCACAGAAAUGUUGGCAGUCUGACAGAGAGACAAAACUCACCUGUAUGUCUCUUUAAAGUGGUAUUUUUCUACUGCCUGAGAGAAAGGAGACUUCAUCCAGAGUCCUUGGGAACUGCUUACACACUGAGGAGGGUGGCACAAGAAGACUCCUUUCCUCAGCAAUGCUGGCCUCAAAGGCCGCUCUUGCCCUGCACAGCCUACGGUGCUGGUUCCCAGGGAUUUGCCCCAGGUUUCUUAUUCCCCUUCUUCAUUUUGUUCAAAGGGUCAGGAAGUCGAUUUCUUGUAUUUCCUUUACUGCCCAUGUUUGUCAGUGGGACGCUGUGCUGACAGCUGCCUCAGCAACCUGCAGUGACCCCAGCAGGAGGGGAAGCAGCAGAUGCCCAGAAGAUGACGGCGCUGACAGGCAGCUGUCAUCUUCUGUGCUCUCUGUCCUCAUGCAGAGCAGUACCCUGUGUGCCACUGAAGCUGGGCAGCUGGGCUCUAAGUUGGUGCUUUGCUUCCAGAGCUGCAACAGCCAAAUUCUGCCUUCCCUGAGCUGUGCAGCCUGAGCAGGGUAUUGUGUCCAUCCUCUGUUUAUUUCCAUAGGUAUAAUGUGAAUUGUAGUUUUAAUAGCUUUGAAGUGUUGCAGACUAUCCUAUACUGGCAGGCUUUCUUAAAGCCUGACUGGUCCUGGGUGGUGGCUGAUACCACACACAUCUUCUCCACUUAUCCUGAUAUUGGCUUUUUGGAGACUGGCUGAGACUCCUCAGUUCCUGCAGUGUGCUGGUCUUUUAGGAUGUGAAAUCACAUAGCUCACUUUUCCCACGAAAAAGACUGAUGAACUUCAAGAUUUGGCUUCAUAGUGUGUAUUGCUUCCCUUGUAGCAGAAGAAAGGCCCAGAGCUCAGCCCUGGACCCCUUUCUGGAUGUGGCCUUAUCAACCUUACCCUGUGAUACGGUAAAGGCCAUGGGCAUCCUGAGUGGAGACUUGAUUAUUUUUUGUGUUCUGAGGUUAUAGUGAAACAGCAAAAAAUCUGGAAUGCAUAUGUGGUACUUUCUUAAGGAUCACCUGCUAGCUGCAUCUACACCAGCUUCUGGAAAAAUCUAACUUUGGCUUACUUCUCUUAUGUUCAAACCACCUCAUUACAGCAGGGAGCCACCUGAGAAGUAUGUUAAUGGCCAUAUGCCAACAGCCUCAGUGCUAUGAAAACUGCUGAGAUGAACCUGCUCUGACUGCUGAAAGCCAGAAACAACCCUGCUCUUGUCUACACCAGGAAAACUGCAACUUGCUAAUUUGCCAUCGGCCAGCAGCUGCUCUUGGGUUGGCAAUGUUGGAACUGGUAAAUGGAACUCAGGCAUAUUUAACUCUGUAAUAAAACAUAAUUUAGAACUAUAGAGCAGACUGGUAAUGCUGCCUAUUAUCAAGGUUGUUUGAUACUUCUCAUUAUAAGACUCUAUUUUCAGCCGCUUACAAGUUUGCCAAAUUUUAACAGCUUGCACUGAGAUUUCUUUUACUUGGUGUCUGCCUCUCGCUGAAUAUCCCGUUAUUGUUGUUCAGGAAAAGAAAACAGCACUUAGCCAGAGCAGCUCAGUUGUUUCUAAGAAAGAGCACUGGGAAAAUACCUUGUUACUCCUGUUAAAUUCAGGUGACCUUUUCUUUCAGCAGCUCAGAGGAAAGAUUUGGCAAGAGGAGGGAGCCACUGUCAGAGACGCUUAUACUCUUUCUAUGGAUAUUGACCAAAGUAAGCUGGUGCGCAGAGUUCUCAAAGCAUUUCUGUUAUCACCAGCUAGCAGCUCUUUAAUGCUUAGCAGCUAAUUUCCUCAAAGAGUUGGUGACUGUGGGCCAUGUGCCACAGCAAGGCUGUGUGCAGGGGCUUGGAGAUGCGGUGCCCAGCUUCCCCAGGGUGCUUGGCCAUGGAAAGGAGGAGAAUGAAUGAAUUAAAUGGGGCGGAGUGCAAUAGUGACCCGAAGAGCAAUACCUGGGUGCUCUGGAGAGCUUUAUGAUGUGUGUAAUAUGCUCACAGGUGGAGGUACUAAUAGAUAGUAGAUGUGUAUGUACCUAUACAAUAUCCAUUAGCUUGAUGCAUUCCUUGUAGCUGUUGUGUAUGUUAAGCUAUAAAACACAAGCCAAAAAUCAAAUUUAGUAAUAGCAUUUGUUAAUGGCUUCUUUUUUUUUAUUUUUUCUGGAUGUAAUGGUGGACAUCAGAUUAUUACCAUAGAACACUGUAGGCAAUCAAAAGUGAAUUAAUCUUGCUCGAGGACUAAAAUCACUGUAGGUUUUUCCUAAAUAACAUGUGCCUCUUUAAUUAAUCUUUGCUUUCUUAUAAGCACCGUGUUGAAAUUGGAUACUACUUCUGCCUGUGUGAUCCUAUGGGCUCUGGUGAGAUUUUGAUCCUUCCCUACAGAGACCCAGGCUCAGUGGCCAGGAUGGGACAGAGAAGAGGAAAGAACUGAACCCCCAUUAGCUAGCCAGGGAAAAGUCCCUGCUUUUAACUAUGCUGCUGGUUCACCAGUUAUAGUAGCCACGAUCUAGCCACUAACACUGCCCUAUCCUUUCAGAUUUCUGUUAGCCUUCUUCUAUGGAAAUUACAGGAGCUUCUCAUAACUUGUCUCGCAGAGCUCCUAAAAACUGCAUACGCAGCACAAGUAGCUCUACACAUUAUCUACUCCGUAUCUACAACUCCAAAUGGCAGGGCAACCUAUACCAAAGGGUUCGGUGUCAGAGAAUCAUGGAAUCAAUUGCAUUACUUCUAGGUAAACUGGGUUAUGAUGGAGUUCAGCAGUCCAGACACAUGAACUUCCGGAUGGAGAUGAGGCAUGGCUGCAGGAAGACUGUACUUAAAUUUAAAAAUAACAUUUGAAAAUUUGAUUAAGACUCAUACCUCUCCUCCCUUCCUAGUGUCUAAUGAUAACAGAUUAAGACACUUUAAACCUAAGGCAAUUUUGUAUUUUUAUGGUUACAAUUUAUUAACAGGCAGUGUUUCUCCAGCUUUCCUGGGUUGCAUGAGAAGCCCACACAGACAGAAGAAAUUAGGGGGAAAAAAUGAAAAGAAUAUAAUAAAGGGCUGUCAAACACGUGUCGUUUUAAAGAAAUGGUGCAAGAUGUUUUCUCCUUUUUAUGUUUUAUUUUUUUAUUAUCUGCUUUGUAAAACCAUUCUCAAGCUGAAGGUGGAUGGGAAUCCUUUAAUGACCCAUCAAUAAAACCACUUAGCAGAGCUGAAUAGCAGCUGUGACAGGUGACCUUCCCUUUUUCAGAAAUGCUCUAUUAGUUCUCAUUAUCUUGCCUCUUGGUCACGUUUGGGGGCCUUUCAAGACUUCUUCUUUUUUCUCCUCUGAAAUAAACUGUAUUUCUAUCCAUCUGGAGAAGAUUCCAUAUCAUUUACUGGGAAAGGAUGUCAUUCACAGUAGCUGUUUGUGGAAAAAUAGCUUACUUGCCGUUACAGAAUUGCCCUCACAAGAGGAAGCUGAGGCAGGUGAGGGAAGGUUUGAGUGUAGCUGCUUUAAAACAUGGAGGGCAGACAAAUGGCUGCUCCUUUGCUCUGUUGUUGGUGUCAAUGGUGCUACCACUCCUCUGUCUCCUCUGGGUAUUGUGCCGAGCAGAUGAAGUAAUCUGCCUCAGCUCUGGCCUGCCAACACAAAGCUCUUCAUUGCUUCAGUGUUUCUCCAAGCAAAGAAUACCUAUGACAUGAAGUAACAACUGUGUGGGGCUCUUUUCUGCCCAGAAAGUAUUCUACUAACUGGUUUCCAGUUUUGUCCCCAUACAGGUGCUGCUUAGUUCUUUCCAACUCUCUGACUUCUGGGAUUAGAAAAAGCAAUUAACUCCUUUCUCCUGUGGUGCGUUAGAUAAGAUUGUGAAAUUCAACGGGUUUAUAGCUGCCAAAGAAGAGUCUUUCUUGAAAGCACUUGCAUCAGUGUUAUUUUUAUUCCUGUGAUUUGCGACGUGCAACCUGGAUCUUUGCAGCAGUGUUGGUAGAUGGUAGUAGCAAAUAAACAAACAAAUAUGCUAGUAAAAUGCUAUGUUUUGCUCUGAUUUACUUAUAGAUAUUUGAAGUGGAUAGGAAAUGUGGCAGAAUUGAUGUGGAAGGAGAGGGAGAAAGAGACAGCUCUUGACUGAGGUUCUUUUCCUUUGAAGUAAACUGAAACAUUAUGCUGCAGUAUUGUGGCCAGGAAAGUGCAGGUGCCCAUAUUUCACCUAUUAAUAGCAAAUAUUUUCUCAUCCAUUUUUGCUUUACACAAGAAAAAAACUAUUUCUGAGGCUUUAUCAGGCAAAACGAGAAAUUUAGCACGGAAGGAACUAGAAAUGAAGUUUCUGUAGACGUUUUCUUUUUGUAAAUGCUGACAAAUAACUCCUGCCAAAUACUACAUAAAGGAGAAAAAGAAACAUAUGGCAAUUCAACGGGAGUGAAAAGAUGAGCUAAUCCAACAUCCAACAAGUCUUUGGAUGAGACUAAAAUAAAACCAACCAGCCUUUAUCAUGCUUGAUAGCACCACUAUAAUUAGGAGUCUGUCACCAGGUUCAUAAUGAACCCUUAGCCCUAUUUUCUGGGGUUUAUAGUAUGGCAGUAAGAGUCACUUCGGGUUGAACUUGGCAUACUGGAGCUCACUGUACAGAAGGCUCUAAUCUAGUGUGCAGGUUUUAAAUAAACAGGCUGUUAAAAGUUGUUGGGGUGUGCCAGCAGUGAUCUCGCUGUGCUUAUAAUCUGUCCAAAGUGUUUAAGGAGUCGGUGUAUAACGCGAUUUAUUUGCCUUUAGCAUGAAAAAUAGAAAUGCGUUGUUCAGUAUCCUGAUGUGCUCUCUUAAGCUGCCGAUGUAAGGAAGCAAGAAUGUAAGGAAUUGCUAUUUAUUUUUUUCCCUCCCUUGGUUUUAUGAUCCCUAUUUCUGCCAUGGCAGGAGCUGCUGCUGCAGAGCUACUGGUAAGCAUUUGCUGUGCACAGCCUUGAAAACGCGUCUGUGAAAAAGCUCAUUCUUUAGGAGUCAAGUUUUCAAUCUUAUGGAGUUAUAGAGAGAAGCCCGGCAGAUGAGCAGAAAAUCCAGCUUGCUGCUUUCUCCUGUCUUUCCCUCCAUCCUCGAGGCUCAGUCAGCUGUUGGAGUGGCACUGGCUGUGCAACAGUGCCUCAGACACGUACAUGGGCAUGCCAAUACUUCUGAGUGCAGUGGUUUAAGCUUCAGAAAAUGCCCAAGCUUCUUUCUGAACCCAGAAUUAUUGCAUAUCUAAUCUCUGAAAGACGUGCCUUGACUGUAUCCCUAUUGUGUGUUGUCCUCUACUCUUACUUCCUGCACUGGGGCUACACAACAUUUCACUGUCUUUAAUGUGGCUAUUUGUGAAUGUCCAUAUGAGAUAAGGCAGAGCUGUCACAACAGCAUCUCCUAUGCAAAGCUCGUGUCUACUAAAGGUCAAGUAUUUUUACAUUAAGGCAGAGUGUUCAAACUGGUAGUAGGUGCCUAAUGAGAUUUUUAGAAACGCUGAGGUUCUUCUGCAUUUUUAUAUGACAAACUCUAACAUGUCUGUCUUAAAGGGACAAACUAAGCAACCUCAAUGGCCUGAUCAAAAUCCGAGUAGGUCAGUCCUGUCCCAGUGUGGUUCAACCUUCUGACUUGUAUAUGAAAGCAAAGACGAACUGAGGUGUAUCCAGAUCACAUUUAAUAUACAGUAAAUGUUAACUUUCCCUCCCAAACACUUCAGGGGAGGCUUUGAUGUUCAUCUGAUGAAGGUGAAUGGGUUGGGGGAGGAUUAAAGUUCACCAGGAACUGCAGCAGUCCUAUGUCAGGCAGGGCAUGAAGCUGAGAAUUUUCAUUCUACAGGAAAGAAAAUAAAAGCCAUGCACACCAGUGCUGGCAACCGGGCAGGGGGUACAUCAUGUAAGCCCAUGCCCCCAUGCUGUAUUGCUUCUGCUUUUCAGAAAAAGUCUGUGCUACAUUUCUGACACAGAGACCUCCCCAAAGCUCCACAUUUAUGAAUUAGUAAUUCAUAAAUUAGCAGCUGUAGGUUGGCAGUCUCGAAAGGGGACUAUGCCAGGUUAUAUUGUGCUCAUUCAGAUGAGAGGCUGGCCCAUAAAGGCCGUGCCCAUCCUCCUGGGAGCUAAGAAACCCUUUUCCCUGAAAAGAGAAUAUAUUUUUGGAGGCCAUUGUGCCUUGUCUCCAGGUGAGGCACUUCAAACCUAGCGGGAGCCAGGAGCAGAUCUGUCUCUUGCAGAUCCCCUGGCCCCAAGCCCCUCAUCUCCCUGUAUGCCAUUCAAACUCUGCUGGCGCCCACACCACUGACCUAGCUGGCCAGGGAUGACAAUAGAAAGGAGAGAGCAGUGACAUAUGUGCCCAUAUACACACACAUUCUUGGCUUUCUUGCCUGUAUCUGCUGGCAAGCACACGGUAGGUAGCAGCUGCUAACACUACUAGUUGCAUUACACUCUUCAUUUAGGCCCUAUGUUUUCCAGCAGGAGACAUGGAGCAUGGAUUGGAACCUAACCAUGAUGGUCUUCUGCAGAAGAAUGAGCAUGUAAAGAGCAAGGUGCACCAGGCAGGCAGGGACCUCUGCUCUCACUGGGGUACAGGAACAGGGCUUCUUGCAUGAAUGAGGAGAGCAAGGAGGGAUGGGGCAGGCACCACAUACUAAGUCUCUCUAUGCAAACAGCUACAUUGAGUGAGUGUUACAAGAGAGCACAUCAUAUAUACCAGCAUACCUGUAAACAGAGGCAUGUGCAACCUCCACGGGGAACAUGGAGAAUGAGUGAGAUCCAUUUUCAAAACGCCACCAGUCAUGUGGUGCAUAGGAACCACUCGUGCUAACAAGUCUUGAAGAUUAGUGCAUGAACGUGGGGGACUUCUGUGAGUCGGGUUUUGAUCAUUAGGAAAAAACAAGCUGAGAUAUCCAAUCAAGAAUAUUAAGCUGAUCAGAGAAGGAAACCACUGUACAACAGUCUGAUACAAAAGGCUUUUGAAACUUUCUAUUAAUUAGAAUAUAUUUGAUCUCUUGGCUUCAUCUUAAUUUAAAGAGAAAUGUGGAAUCACCUUCCAAUUUCUGCUCCAUAGGAAAAGCUUGUAUAACCCUUCAAUUCCUGGCAUUUGCCAACUCUAUUAUAAAUUGCAGAAGAAAAGGUUGCAGUUAAUGUGGAAAUGCAGUCUGUAUCUACAGAAUCUUAAAAUGCCCAUUUUACUUCCAGAAGGUUUGGCCAUUCAUCUUAUUAUCAGUUGGUUUUUUUUUUAAUUUGCCUUAUUAAACCUUUUCCUGGAAAACAAACAAACAACAGCUCUAAAAUAAAGGGGAAACCUUGCAGUGUCCUUCCUUCCCUCAUUCCUUCCUUCCUCCUUUCAGUCACACCACAGUUCCUAUCCUUUCUCUGGAUUUGUGUGUUAUUCACAAAAAUAUCAGCUCUCAAACAGCGGGGAUAGAGCCUGGAUGUUUAUCUUCUCUAAAACAUACCAGCUGUUCUUCUCCUUAAAUAAGAAAAUUAGGUAUUUGCCUUUUAAAAAGUUAUUUUGCUACUAAAUAUUACUUAUCUGAAAUGGCCCUUGCAGCUCCUCUUCAUCUGGCCCAUGAAACAAUUGCUUUCAGCAAACCGUUCUUUCCUAUUGCAUUUAUACUCAAACUGUUGAGCUUCAGCUCUCAUCCCAAGAGAUUUAAUUUUUUCCUCACCCUUCUGGAGCUAAUUAUUAUUAUUUAAAAAUCCCUAAAUAUAAUUCCACUUAACUGUUGUGCUGUGGAGACCUUCCUCUGUUUAUUCUCAAGCUUCCAAGUUCCAUUCUGAAAGUUCCAGGCUUUUGGCAACUUGUGAGUUUGACACCAAUAGAGAAAAGGAAAAGCAAACAGAAAAUAAGGAGCAAAGCCAGCAAUGCUCAUCUGGAUGUGAAACCAUCAGCUCUCCCAGGAGGGAGGCGUUCAGGGAGGCUCAGGCUGUGCCGUCAUUCCUGGGCCAUGUUUGAGGACUAAAUGCUGGCUAUUUGCUGUGCGUUUUGUGUUGCUAGUAGGUGCCUGAAGGUUUUAUUAUUCAUUCCUCUUCCAAGUGCUAAGAGGGAAAUGCUAUUAUUUUAUCUGUUUCUAUACUCUCCAAACAGCUUUAAGUGUUGAACUUCUCCAUCCCCCUUGUACUUCCCCUGAGUCUUCAGAAAGAGAAGUCUCUGCUUCUCUGUUUCCCUCUCAGCCCCUUCAGCCCUCCUGCCCCACUGGCCUGGUCCUCCUAGAUUUCUCAGCAGUUCCCUAUGGCUCUUCCAAAGAGCAGCAGUUGGUAAUUGGCAUGAUUCUUGCCUUUUUCAUUAGUACUAUUGUUAAACUCAUCACGAAUCCAUUAAAUUGCCUGCUGUUCUUGUUUGUAAAGAGCAAGAGACUAUUGCUGUUUGUCUCUGAGCUUGUGAAGAGCAUACCAAGUCUCCAACUUAUUUGAAAAUACUGUUUUUAGCAGAACCUCUAAUUUUCCAAUGUUGAUGACUUAUGCUUUCCACUUGCUCAGAAUAAGAUAACCACCAACUACCUUAUAGGUUUACAAUCAUAAACAUCCAUUAAAAACAACCAGUCCCUGAACAGGGGAGCAGAGGACCUGCACUUGCUCAGCUUGCUGUGCUGACUGAGGUUGCAGUGUGACAUGAAAGGCCAGCCCAAACGUUUGCAGUGCUCUGUCCAGCUUGUUUCCCACUCUGACUGCCUUGCAGCACUUGCUGCUUUUCUGUUCACCAAGAAGAAGGGUUGGGAAGCAUUUUUGGAUUGACAGUUAUAUUUCAGGAACAGUUUCGUUUGCAAGAAAAGCAGAUUUUUUUACUUUUGCAGGCAAGAAUAUGAGAAAAAAAUGAGGUCUCGGACACAGAUGAACAGAUACAUGAAAGCACUGUGGUCUGAAUUGAUGCAAUACAUGUUGGAUUUGUGCACACAUGGUUAGAAAAGCCAGCAAAAGUCUUCAUGGGAUUUUACUGAGAAGUUAAUGUGGAUGCCAAAUCCAUUUAUCAUAUCUUUGGUUAUGUGCCACUAUCCCAUAUGACCUUCUCCAGCCUCAGAGCAAUGAACACUUUUCUCUUCCAUUACAUAUGCUUGUUUUAUUUUAACCCCUUCCUCACCAAUCCACCACUCAGAUGUAGUAUGAGCAGCAGUUUUUCCCCUUGCAGGGAGGUGAAUGCAUUGCUUUAAAAAUUACAAAUAUUUGGAAAGGGAACCAAAUGGUCCUGGAGGCAGCUUUGGUAGAUUUGCGGGACUUUUCUGGGGAGGUUAUGAUUAAAUUUAUACAGCGCAACUGAGGAUCUGCCCCUUUUUCAAUUAAUAACUUCUUUCCCACCAGUAAUCUUUAACAUUAGGAAGGGUACUUUCUCUAAUCACUUGGCUUUUUAUGGUCUAACUGGUCUAACACUGGUAUCGGAUAAUAGUUUUUCCACAGCUCUGAGGAAUGUGCCAUGCCACAGUUACUCCAUCUGAGAGCAAAGGCAAUUCAUAGGUUUCUUGUGCUUUGGUUCAUAGCUUUUGCAGUCGUUCUCUUCCAUUACUGCUUGAAAACAUAAAACAAAGAGUGUGCUGCCAAUACUCUUUGGCAUGUGGUCAGACAGCCUCUGUUGGGCACAAAAGAGGAUGUCUACUUUUGUUUUUAUUAUUCCCUCACCCUCCUGAGCCACAGGUGUUGACAUCAAGAGCUGUUGGGUAGAUCACAGCUCCUCCUCCCUCUGCAACUCUGUCAGCUGUUCCCAUGGUCAGAAUUAGUAGGGACUGCUUAAACAGUUUAAAUAGGUCUCCUCUCAGCUGGUUGAUUUUUGGCAGAAAUGGGCAAUGGAGAAUUAUCCAGAUGGCUCGGUUGGUGCUUUAAGGGAAUAGUAACCUGCACAGCAAUCCCUCAGAAGCACUGGGCUGAGGGCAGUUGCUGCUUCAACUGGUGGAGCUGAAGCUGGAAGAUACUAUCUGGUUACAGAUUGUGACUCAUGCCUGUAACUUGUCCCAUGGCAAAUCAUUUCUCUUAGGUUAUGCUUUAAGAAGCUGUGUAGGAAUGUAGUCAGCCCAGGAAGCAUGUGCUUCUAGUUUAGAGUUCUAACCUUGUGUUGCAACAUGCACGCGUAGCACUGUUACGUGGCUGUGGGAUCCAAGAGGAUUUGCCAUAUCUGGUUGCCAAAAGUUGCUGAGUGUCGAGUUAGACUCUCCCAGGGAAAAUCAUCACUGAAUUCACCUCAGUUUAGACCUUAGUGGCUGGAACACAGCAAGCAUGUAGUUGGGCCCGAUAACAGAUCUCAGUGUUAUGAGAAGUUAAUCCACAAAACAUCCAGCUGAUGCUUCCUGGAGAACUUGAUGAUAUAGUAAAUGCAGUUAGCAACAGAGAAUUUAGUCAGGGUAUUGGUAGAAAAGGUUUAUUGGUCUUCUUGUGUCGCGUGAGAUUAGUAUACUCUCCCAGCACGGCACUGGCAUGUAUGAAUAUCAACCUGAAAUGCUUCUUGAAGCAUCAACUGGAAGAUCAUUUAAGUGGUGAUACUGUGGGAAGAGGAAUUAGACCUUCUGAGUCUUUAUUCAGCAACACCAGAUGGAGAGUUUACAGUUUCUGUGGUUUCUCCCCUGUCCCUGCCGAAAUUCACCACCACCUUGGCCUGUGCUUUUGUUGGACAAAUCUUUUGGCAUGCAUCUGUUGUGUGUAUGUGUGUGAGACAAGAGCACACCCUUCCUUUGUACUCUUUUCUAAAAGGUUUUCUACAGAAUGGAUUCUCUCUACUUUUUCUCCACCUUUGGCAGCCUUUUUCUGAGUUGGGUUCCUCCCCCGGUUGGUAACAAGUAUUGCAGCACAGGUGGGCAGCAGGUAGAGUACAUCAGCACUGCUGUAAGCAGAGAAUGCUGCUAGGACUACGUUGGGAAUCCUUGGCCUCAUAUAUGUCUUUUGGACUUUAAAUCAUGUCUGUAAAAUGCUUCGAUAAGCACUUGAGCUGAAGGAGUGGUAACCUCUAGCACAGGGUGUGAAGGGUGUAGGAAGUAAUCACUGCAUAAGGGGAAGGGCUGGAAACCCUUCUAGCUACCUUUAUCUCCAGAGGAUCUGUCACACGAAGUAACAUCCUAAGGCUGUGCUGCUGGUAAUCUCAGUGCUUGAGAGAUAACCACGUUCUCCCUCCAAAACAAACUGAUAAAAUCUACUUCCUUUGCACAAAGCUGCAUUGCUCCCUUUGUGGGGAAGAAGACGAGGUUUUUACCUGUGGGCCAUAGUUGUAAUUUGCCACUGUUGCUUUCAGAGGUGUCUGUUUAUUUUGGAUAAAACUUAAUUUAAGUCUUCUUUUUCCUUGGAUCCUGCCUUCAGAUACAACAACCACACUGAGCAAGUGAAACUACAGACUUGUUCUUUUCUUGAUUUGUAUUGUUGUUUAUCAAGAAGGACUGGCUAUGCCUGUCAGUCUUUCUUACAGGAAAAAAUGGGUCCACAUUGACAUAUACUCUUUUCCCAAUUAGCUUAAUGGGAAAAUGAGCUCAUUAUGUCUUUUCUUUCUCUCACAGGUAAAUUCAUAAUUAAUUCACUUUUGGUAUGUUCUUCUGGCCAAACGUGUGUUCUCUAAUCUGCUUCAUCUCCUUCAUUAUGGCCAGGCUAAUAAAUUCCUUAAUUUUGAGAAGUCAUUCAGAAGAUUUUGGUAUUUUCCCUGGACCUUCAUUCCCUGCCAAAUUAAGAAAUAGUCUUUGAAGUUACUAUCAGCAUAGAUUUGGCCUCUACAAAAAACCUAUUUGAAGUGAGAACUGCUGUCAUCCAGUGACUUGCUCUUGGACUGAGUUUUAGAUAAUGGCACCAAUAUAGUCUGAUUUAGACAACAAUCUCAAUGGCAUUCCUAUAUUUGAAAUUAUUAUAAGCCUGCCUAAUUUGGAUUGAGAAAACAAGAAUUGGCCUCCUCUGUCUCGUCUUGUAAUCCCCUAUUGACUUGUGACACCAUCAAAUUUUCUUAUGCAAGCUUGGACACUGUUAUAGUGAAAUUAAACCUCCCGAAAACAAGCUUGCUUUUCUUAAGAACUCCUCAAACUAGGAGUUAAUGAGACUUGUGGAUAGUGCUGUGGGUGGUGUCUAGCAGUACAGCAUAGCUGCUCCAUGUGCACUGCCUGCACAGCUGUUUUGCACGGCUCCCUUUACCUCCCUUGCGGCCAGGUAACUGCUGAGGCAGCACAUGGUUGUGUGUUUUGGAUCUGGUUCAUGCCUUGUGCUCCGGAGGCAAGCCACUCUAGUUUGUGAAAAGACCACAAAAUAGACGCAGUUGCUGUCCAAUGAACAUGUGUUAUUUGGCUUAACAUAUGAAAACAUUAGCUAGGGUUUUUCUUAUGCCUGUUGGCAAAAAGGUGUUCUUUUAAAGAAAUGCCAAUAAUAAUAAGAGCUACUUCAAAUAAGGUCUGAGUUUCUUGACUAUGAGUGGGAAAUUAUGUAGAUUACCAACCCUGAGAACCUUCUGAUACUCAAUGUCAUGAUUAGAGAGUGUAAAAGUCUGUUUGAGGACUUGGCUAAUUUAAACUACUUGAGCUCCACAGCAAAAUUACUUCAGGUAAUGCUUGACAGCUGUGUUUUCCAGCAAUAAGGUCUCAAUAUGUUACAGAAGAUGUAGUUUGUUUGCUGUUUGUGACCUUCUGCCAUUUUCAAGCAACGCUUGUGCUAAUGACUGUUCUGAGGGCUUCGGGGGAGAUAGUUUUGCUAAUUGUUUUCCAAGGAGAAGUAAUAUGAUUGAAGAUUGAAUGGAUGUUUUCUUUUUGUUACAUGGUCUGAUUUGUUGGCUUUGGAAGAUAUAACUGGAAGAUAAGAUGGCAGAUAUUUGAAAAGGAAAUUGCCUGUAUUCUGUAGUCUGUUUAAGAGUUUCUUUAUCACUGUGUGUGAUGUGCACUGCCUGUGCACAUGAUUUAAACCACAUUUCUGGAACAGAUCUGGAAUGUAUUUGAAAGUGAGAGAUGUGUAGCAUGUAUAUGAACUGUAGUGUUAUGAUUUUAAUUAUGUGUGCAGGUAGCUCUAAAAGUCAUGCCUCCUAUUUAUGCCCAUGGAAACUACAGCAAGGAGCACAAUACCACUAUUUGAUAGAGCAGAUUCUCAGCUACAAAACACUAUUUUUCAACACAGUUACUGCCAUUAGCUCUGCAUUUUUGCCAGCAAUGAACAAGAGCCUGCACGCUGUCCUCCUAAAAACCUGCACUAGCAGAGGCGACCCACUGUUUCACAGCUGUUAUGAUGGUGUUGCUGCUGACAUGCACCACCCAUCACCUCACAGUGACAUCCAUUGUUUGGUCUCCAUAAAUGCUCAGCAAGCAUCAAUGGAUGUCAGUGGGUGCCAUUUUUUUCUGCAGGGAGAAAUUCAGUGACACACCUUUGCUUCAUAUGCACUUCCAUGUCAGAUGACAUUCUGUCAGACUGUCCCUCUGCUGCCAUCUGUCACACUGUAGCAACAUGUAAUGUGAUACUGGUGGGAAGGUUCAACCUCUACUGACAAUACCAGGAUCUCCCCCAGUAGAGUCAGCGUGCCUCCUUGCAGCCUGAGCCCAAGGGGAUGUUUACCUCCCUCUGGUUGAGUACACCAUUUUGCUGGGGUACUUCUUCCAGCCAGAACUCCUGAUCCAGAACCUGCUAAUUCAGGUGGGAAAGGUGAAGCAGAAUGGCUCUAAGCUUCUUCUGGGGGAAAGGAAGCAAGCACGUUGCUGCAGAUUCCCUGUAAUGGUUUUAGUGGGGUCUCACCAGGGCAGGAAGAUGGUGGCGUAUCUCCAUGGCACAGGGAAAUGUGCUGGGCUAGGAGAGUCCUGAGAGGAGAAACACUACUAAGUAGCUAAGUUUGACUUUACGUAGCUAGUGUUUAAAAAGGCUAGUCCUGACAAUGCUGAGACAUUUCUUCUUGCUUUGCUGUGGUCAAGUUCUCAGAUUCAACAGUAUAAAAAAAAAAGUGUAGGGUUGGUGUCUUGUUUUGUUUUUGUUUUGUGCUUUAUCCUAUUGGGUGUGGUGAUGUCUUUUAUGGAGGUUUUGUGGUGAUUCUUUUUCUCCUUGGUGCCAAAAAGAAGCAGAUCUCCAUUUUUGAUGUCACCUUUGCAAUUAAUAACUGCAUUUGAGCUAACUUUCUAAAUCACUUGAGAUUUAGCCUAUGAAAGUCAGAAGUGUUUUAUGUUGGUUUUGUUUUUAAUCAUGGAGUGCCUUUUUUCAUUCAAAUACAGACCUCAACCUCAUCAGAAUAUUAAUAAGUAGUUUUUUAUGCAUAAGUAUUUAUUUCCAGACCCAAUUUGCAGCUGUUAUGGUUUGUUGGAUCAACGAUUUCAUUUUUUAAUGAAAAUUCUAAGGAGGUUUUGAUUAUGAAAUGCAGUGUCUCGCAAACAGCUAUUAAGUUUUAAUGUGUCAAUAACUGCUUUUUCUUUUUCUUUCUUUCUUUUUAUUAGUUUUAAAUCCCCAUACCUGUUCAAAGUCAGAGGAACUGUGGAUAAAGCAAAAAUCUGUGUGACAGGAGCUUUCCGUUCCUGUAACAAUUUGAAAAAUAUACAUAAAUUACUUUUGAGUCAAAUUCAGACUCACAAAAGCACAAGAUUUGAGGGAUUAGGGCUUUAGACUACCACACAAGGCCUUUUAUUGUGUUUGCAAAAGCCUUUUGAGAAGAUUUUGGAGGCAUUUUAAAAACCAUUUACUAAGUUUAGUCCUAUGGUUUCUUGGUGAAUUUGGCUGAUGGGAUCUUUUUCGGCAGAAGGACAGAGUUACCCAAAAUCACACGGUGUGACUGCCAAAUGGAAAUGAAACAUACAGUUCCUACCCUGUGGUUUCAGGAUUUAGACAGUGUUCCCACAUCAGCUCCCGUGAAGCUGUGGGGAGGGGAGGAAAGAUCUGUCGCUUAUUUGGGCCUGUGCACGUUAAAAUGAACUGUGUGACACUGGGGAGGAAGAGACAGGAACAGCAUGGCUGCUGGGGGGGGGGAUGCAUGCCUGUGAAGGUGGCAAGGCAGUGGUUUACAGUUCACUAACAAAUUGCUUGGGUCAGAUCCAGCUUCAGCUAACAACAAAAAUCGCAAGCUGUGAGUGCACUGGGUCCUGCGGUCCCCUACAGCUGUUCACCAGAUCUCAGCUUUUAUGAGGAUGGCCCCCCGCUGGCCUCUCCCAGAGCUGGGCCCUGGCAGCGCUUUGUCCCAAGACAGAUUAUUCAGCAGGAUCCACCAGAAAACUUGCUUCAGAUUUGCCAGGGAUUUGUUGGCCCUAGGACUGGCCUGUCUGAAAGGAAAAUGUUCUGGAAGACAUCUGAAGAGCCCCUGUCCCUGGGCUCGCCUGUUUGUUUGUCGGGGUUGGCAGAGGCAGGGAGAGCUGAGUCCAUUUGGGGUUGCACGGAGCUGUCUUCCAGUCUGUGUUCAUCUGCACUGAGAAAACAAAGAGAAAGAGAAAUGAUCCACCGCAGCUGAGGCGCUGAGCUGUUCCUGAUUUGGGUGUAGGGGUUAAAAAUGGUGACUGAAGUGUGCCUCGAGUACUCACAUACUCGUUUUAUUCCUUUUCUUUUUUCUUGGUCAGGAAAGCAGGCUGGGGGCAUUUCCGUGUUACUUGUGACAUCUUCUCAGCCACCUUUUCCAUCACCAACUUUGAUCAAAACAUCUAAAAAUGUUAGGCUCCGCCAAGCUCUGUGAGAACAGGAGGCAAGUGGAGUAGGAAGCCCAGGAGCGUCCCAUCAAGGUGGUUUUUCUUUUUGUGGGAGGUCAGUCCUUACACACAUGGGGGGCUUCACGCAGAGGGCUGCUUCUGAUCAAGAGAAGCGGAAGUCCACACCAGAGAGAGGCCAGCUUAGAAGUCAGACAGAGUGCCUGAGGCAAACAUGAUGAUUCCUAAUGCCAAAGGAGGUGGUCCUGCCCUGUCUUCCCCGUAUGGCCUCCAGAGCGCGUCUGUCUGCACAGGCAGCCAGCUCAGCUGUCUCGUGCGGCAGAAAGCUCACCAAAGCAAAGCAAAUGAGUUUUUUGCUAGAUUAGUGAGUUGAAUCAGUUUAUUCCUGAGGGCCAGCUGAAGGUAGGAGCUGGGCUUGCACUGUUCAGGCUGAGUACGGGAGAAGGCCAUGUGUAGGCAGAAGAUUGCCCUGCUUGGUGGCGCGGAUUAUCUGGGUUGGCUGUUGCAGAGCCAUGCCCGAAGCGUUCAUUCUUGGGUACCCACCAAGAUGCAAACUCAGUGAGGCUUAUCCUGUAGGAAAACAACAUUAAUCUCUUUCUGCCUUUCUCUCUCGCUUUUCAGUGUGGGUUUUCUGAUAUUUGUUUGGGGGAUAUUCUUUACUUUUGUGCAAUUUGGUUAAAGCAGUCUGUCAGCCACAAGAGGACAAAUCUGUUUAGAAAACAAAUUUCAUUCAUUCCAGUGCUCAUAAAACCAUUUGUGUUACAACCUGUAAAAAGGAAUGGAUGUCUGAGAAACAAUUUCUGUUUCCUAGUCUUACCGGGUAUAGCCGCUGUCAACACAGGUUAUUCCUCACCCUUAAAUAUUAAAGCCAGAGCUACAGCAAAUAUUAUUCUUCAGCUCAGUAAUUCUGUAUCUCACAGCUACAGCUUUCAUGAGUUGGUGAGAAUAGUAAAUGCUUCUGCCUCGUGGUAAAAUGGAUUUAAAAAAAAAUGGUUGUACCUCAUUUUUUCUGUUAAUUAAAGUCAACAAAACUUGGAAAAAUUAGUUGAGGUGAAAUAUAAGUCUGCUGUGUCUCUACAGGAGAAGGAGAAAUGAAAGUUUAUCAAUUCGGAGAUAUGAUAGUAUGGGCAGAACUUCCUGUGCUGAAGACUAUUUCAAGGAGACAGCGCUUCAGACUUUGUUCAGAUUGCCUAUUUUUCAAACAUUGCACAGCAACUCAAUCUGAACUCCUGAAAACCUUUGCAGAUAUUUCGUAGAGAAGAUCCAGAAUUCUGAAGGCUUCCAGUCUUUUCAGUUGGCAAGGACAAACAGGCUUGAGCUGUGUAUAUUUACAGUGUGUUUCGUUACUCAUCCUUUCCUAUCAAAGAUGAAAGAGCGAGAUCCUUGCAAACUGUAGGAAGCAUUUGUAGACUAAACCAUGGCAAAAUCUGAUGAAUACUUUGACUCCUUCAGACACUGCUGUAUAAAGAGAUAGCAAGAAUGGACAUAAACCGUUGACACCAAGCAUGCUGCCUUGCCCAUCUACUUUCACUAAUGCAGCCAGCUAAUGAUUAAAACCAUCUAGUUUCUGAGGGCACUGACAGAAGUGCUCUGGAAUUUCACGCUGAAUUGAUUUAAGAGGUUAUCACUCCAGCUGUCAGCUAUGUUUCUUUAGCAGGGCUGGUUGAAGGAAAUGAAAGCUGACUUCCUGCUCAUCCUCACUCACAGCCUGGUAUCCUAACUUACACUGAAAUAUGCUGGCCAUCCUUUUCCAGGGAUGGCAAUCUCUGGUGAAAGGCAGGACUGACAGUUUGGUGUGGCAUCUGCCACCAGACAUGAACUGCUUUCAGCUCAUAUGCCCACAAUGCGUUAUGGUAGGGUCAGGGCCUGGUCUUUGUGGCAUCUCACAAAGGGCUUUCACCAAGUUAUGUGUGUUAUAUACUUGCAUCAACAGAAAGCGUGCUGAUUACUGGGAAUUGCAUUGUAUAGCAUAUGCAGUUGCCUCUUGCCUGGGGGAAGUAAACUCAUGGUUUUGAGGGUGCACGUGGCUGGUCACACUGCCAUGGGUUCCACUCAUGCCUUUUGGAAGGGAGUGAGCAUGUUUUAAGUUCAUGUGUUGAAAGAGCAACUUCUUUCAUUUUGAGAAAUGAUUUUUUCUUUCCUUUUUCUUCAGUAGACUGUUUUUGUUUUGGUGUGUUCAAAAUCGAGGACUUUGAUGGUGUUAACCAUUCUUCACGUAUAGGGCAGACCUUAAAAUAUUUGCGGUAUUGAAGGCAUUUUUGGGAAUCUUUUUCUGUUUCUUCACAGAAAUGGGAGGUGGGGAAGUAUUUUCUGUCAGGUCCAUAAAAUAAAUUCAAGUCAGACAGGUUUUGAAGCUUCCAGAUAUCUAGAAGUAUGUGCUGCUCUUAAAGGACAGGUUUCACCAAAGCUCUGAAUGUGUUGCUGUCAGUCAUUUAGGUUUUUGCAUUCAUCUUUUACCUCUGCUGUUUUGCUGAUCCAGUCACUGGGAAUAAACCACAAUCUGUUUGCAGGAUAGCCUGCGUUUAGCAUUUUGAAGGUGUGUAAAUGUAUAGUUUUCAUGUAACAGCAUGUUAUUUAAUGUUAACAGAAACUGCAAAAUGUAAGGGAAGAAUUUAAAAAUAAAUGUCAAAUGAAUGGCUAGUUUUCAAGAUAUACCAUUCCCUGUGAAAGUAGGCAUGAUUGAUGGAAGUCAAUCUUAUAUGGCCUGUUCUAUAGUGGCUUGCCCACUGUAAAGAGGUCUGGCAAACACAUGCCUUCAUGUCCCACACAUUCCUUUCACCCAUUUCAGGUAACUUUGUUUUGUGUCUUGAUGACUGACAGCACAGCCAAAAUUAAAGAGAUGACAGUUGCCUGCCAAAGCUCCCUUAUAGCUUUAUAAUUUGUCAAUUGACUGUGACAUUACCACUGUAUUGUUUUGUUUGUCUGGUAGCUUUUUACUGUUUAAUACUAAUGUGGAAAAUCUAGGUUAUGCAUUCAUUGAAAAUGUCAAUACAGCUACUAUAUCAUUAUCUUAAUAACCUGGGUCAAAUGCAGUGCUUGUGGACUGCUACGGAGCAGUCCUGUCUUCUUCAGAUCCUGUCAGAGUGCAUGGCCUUCAGCCCGAGAAAAUGCCGGGCAAUUGAAAUGACUUUCCUUCCAUGCAAUUUCCCUCCCUGAAAUGUCUCUUGCUUUCUGCACCAUUGCCCAUCACACACAGCUAAA
rnacentral:lncRNA from 1 species